UUAACCCAAAUUUGUAUACAGUUGGAACAGCGCUCUUGGUGGCAAACGUAGACAAACGUUCCAACUCCAUACAAAUUUGAGUCA
rnacentral:pre_miRNA from 1 species